rnacentral:rRNA from 1 species
AUUGAACGCUGGCGGCAGGCUUAACACAUGCAAGUCGAGCGAGCGGCGGACGGGUGAGUAAUGUCUGGGGAUCUGCCUGAUGGCGGGGGAUAACUACUGGAAACGGUAGCUAAUACCGCAUACCAUCAGAUGUACCCAGAUGGGAUUAGCUAGUAGGUAAGGUAACGGCUUACCUGGGCGACGAUCCCUAGCUGGUCUGAGAGGAUGACCAGCCACACUGGAACUAAGACACGGCCCAGACUCCGACGGGAGGCAGCAGUGGGGAAUAUUGCACAAUGGGCGCAAGCCUGAUGCAGCCAUGCCGCGUGUAUGAAGAAGGCCUUCGGGUUGUAAAGUACUUUCAGUGGGGAGGCGUUACCGACAGAAGAAGCACCGGCUAACUCCGUGCCAGCAGCCGCGGUAAUAC